rnacentral:lncRNA from 1 species
AAGAUGAUGGAGGAGGCGUUCAACAGUAAGAGAAAUGAUAACGAUGACACUGCAAACUACGGCAACCACCCACGUCGGCGUCUGCUCUAAAGUCGUUCCACCUUCCGCCAUUUCUCCGGCGAAGGUCAAGAUUAGUAGAUUAGUUCCUCUUGGAACAAGUAAUUAAGAAAGCAAGAAUAUGUGUGUGUGUGUGUGUGUGUGUGUGUGUGUGUGUGUGUGUAUAGAGGAGAUAUGAAAGAGAGUGUAUAAUUGAUGGAAUUUUGAAGCUGGUGUGGUUGUUGGUUAUAGAAGGGGCUGAUCAAAUAGUUGUAAUGUAUAAGAUUUCCACAGGGGCCGCUCCGAAAGUCUUGACUAAUGAAUUUGUUGUAAUUUUUUACAUAUUUUUAGAAACGCGGUCACACGACGGAGCUAUCAUAGACUUGAAUGAUUAAUACGUGUAACUAGGCCCCGUUUUGUAGAAAUUGAGCUUGGGCUACAGUAUUAGAGUGUAGGGGUGCUUACAAUCUAAUCGAUUCAAUUUGUUUGAUCAGUAAAAGUUUGAUAUGUAAAAAUUUAAUCUAUGAAUCGGUAGAUUAGAUGAAAAUUUUGAAAAUUUACAGUCAGUGGAUUGGGAUAUGAAUUUACUUCUUUAAAUAUACAAAAAUCCACAAAUGAAAAUAAUAAAACCUGUAAAUAUGGCAUUACUAGGAAAUACUAUAAAAAGCAUAAAGAUUAUCUUUCUACUCUUGCAAGAAUGGAAUAAUUAUUUUGACAAAUCAUCCAAACUCUUAAGUUUCAACAUUUGUAUAAAUUUAAAUUCAUAAUUUUAGUUAGGUUUCAGGUAGUGAUAUAAACAAAUGAGACUUUUUCUUUGUGGUAUGUUUAUAUUUUGAAAUUUUGAAUGUAUUAUUCUAACUUUUUUAAACAAUUAAUUUAAUUAAAUCUUAAUCAAUUUUUAAUUUAAGCAAUAGUUAAAUUAAUUUUUUAUUAGAUUUUUUUAUUUAAUUAGUUCAUAGAUUGGAUAGAAUUAAAAGUUAUUUAUCCAUAAACCAAUCUACAAAAUGAUAAAUUAGAUAUGGAUUGGCUCAAAUCCGCAUCUGAUAUGCAGACAAAUGGAUUGGAUUACAAAGUUAUAAACCAUAAAAUCGUGAAUCGGAUAUGAAUUCAUAUUCAAUCUGUAAAAUAUGAUCUCAAUUCGCAAAAUCCAAUUUGUGAACACCCUUAUUAAAUUAUAUAGUAAACAUUGUAGUUUAAAAGUUAAGUUGGUUUAAUCUAGCACUUGUAUUAUGGAAAAUGUAUGAUAUUUUUAUUAUUAUUGUCAAAAUUAUUAUUUAAAAAUCAUAAUGACUACUAUUAAUUUGUAUUUAAUAGUUACAAUUAAAAAAAAAACAAUCGCAGCUUAGCACCAAACAUAGCCUAAGGAACUUUUUCCUUUUUUUUCUUUUUUCUAAAAAAAAGGAGGUUCAAAAAAUGGGAUUUCAACGAGCUAUGCCCUACACUCUGAAUAUGUAUAUAUAUAUAUAUUCAAAAUGCUUUUUAUUAAGUGUGAUGAUACAACCACAAAUUCUUAUAAUAAUUUAUCUUGUAUAAAUUGAUGUGACAUUAAUUUAUUAGUUGAAUAAAAAUAUAAAAUAAUAUAAAUAAAUCACGUGGGCUAAAUAAUAUUUAAUUCAACCAAUUUAAUCAUACCACAUCAUUUUUUAUAAAAUAAAUUUGUAUAAAAAUUUGUGACUAUAUCAUUACUCUUUGAUUAAAUAGUAUGUGUAGUAUGUUUUUUAUUAAUAAUAGCGCCAAGGUUAUUAAAAUUUUUCACAUAACGCAGCGUGUGGAACAAAUGAACCGCGUUCCAUACAAUGCUUUGGAAACUUCUCAUUUCCGGUCUUACACACGUUGGGAGUCAGUUGAUUACUCCGCCAUAAUUAAUUCUACUAAUUUAAUUAUUGUAUUAAUUUUUAUUACAAAUAUUAUAGUAAUUCACAAUAAAACAGUAUACAUCAUUAUACAUGGCUAAUUUGCUUCACUUUUCGCACACACAGUUUAUACAUAAUCUUCGAAACGCGUAAAUGGUGAAGUGAGCAGCGAUGAAAAUUCCUCAUUAAAUUAGCUUAACUAACUUACCUAAUUUACAAUUUUACCAUAUAUACACACACUCACAUCCAAGGAAGCAAAAACGAAUCCUCUCCAUUUUUACAAUAAUUAGGCUCCGGCUAAUAAAUGUCUUUUUCACUACAACUCUUAAGUUGCAAGUAAUCACAUUUGGAAAAAAAAAAUCCAAGCCAGCCGCUAUAGUGACAGAGAAUCAACAACAGCAACGACAACUAACAAAAAAACAAACAUGUUAUGAAUAGUAAUAUAAACAGAGUCUGAUGAGAGAAAAACUUCGUCAAAGGCCGUGUUGAAAAACAUUGCAUGAAUGAUGACUUCUCUAGUUACAUAUUAAUGCAUAUACAGAUCAUAUUGACUAUAUAUGUUUAAUUAACUGGUACACAAAACGUAGUCGUGGGGUAAUAUUUAAUAUAAAGAGUAGUGAGAUGGACUCUCCUCAAUUUAUCUCAUCGCCCAUCAUUUUUUUGAUAAAUCUCAUUUAUUUCAAACAUUAUUUUUAUUUUUAACAAUUCUUAUUCAAAUUCUUCGAGUAUCCUUUUCGAAUCAAAAUUUUCAACAUAAAUUGAAGUAAUUCUACAAUUAGAGGGGUGAAAUAGAAUUUUGUGAAUAGUAGUCCUUAUUCAACAUAUGGGUCAAAUAACCCUUAUGUUGUCGGAACAACAGUAAGAUGCAAUUUGGGUUGCUGUUAUCAUUAUAUAAACUGUAUUGAUUAUGAAAUUCCAUAAUUAACUAGUUGAUCAAAUUUUAUCAUAUAAUACUCAAAUUAUGACUACACUACUUCUGAAUAACAUUUAAUUCAUUAACACACAGCCGGACUUGGGGGCAUCGAAAGUUUCACUAUCUCCAUUUCUAUUAAAAAAAUUCCCGAAGGAUAGGUCAAUUCCCAAAUAUAUAUUAUACAUGCAUCUAUGCAUGCCUGAGUCAAAAUAUUUUUGAUUGGAGAAAUGAGACUUGAGAGUUGAGAUGUCACCUUUAAAUUGAAUAAUUCGACGUUAUUUUAUAGAAUUUCAGAUCUUUCUACUCUUAAUUAAUUUAUUAAUUAAUUAAAUCUCUCAUGGGAAACUGAUGGGUUUAUUUUUAAUUCCUUUUGAGAGAUAUCUUAGGUAGCCUUUACCCAAGAAAAUUUUGUACCAGUUGGCACUCAUGAAUAAACAUUGUUAAAGUUCGAAGAAAAGGUCCCCAACAUAAUAACUUACACGUCUGCUAUCAUAAAAAUUAUCUUGACAUAUCAAUCCUCAUAAAUAUAAGGUAAAAACAAUAAAUUUAAGUAUUUCAAUCAAUACAAAUUUAACAUCAUGCGAUAUACUUAAAAAAAAAAAAAAAAUUCGUGUGAUAUUGGCAUUUGCAGGGCUUGACACAUGAUUAGCUAAUUAUCUUAUAGUGGGCUUGGAGUUAUGGGCUAAUCACACUAUGGGCCUCAAAUAAUGGCAACACUUGCAACUUAGCCUUGUAGUGCAAUGCAUUGGGGCAAAAGGUAUGCGAGUCCAAAAUCUAUUGGGUAUAGAGUUAUAAAAUUCUCCAAUUGAAUAAAUUUUGUAGCAGUCAGCACUCUUUUUGCUGAAUGUUUAUUGUAAGCAAUCAUGUAUGGCAAUAUUGUACCACUUUAUGCAAUUGUCACACAAUACAAGCGAGUGACAAUAUAAAUCUACCUUCACUUUGUGCAAUAUUAUGUCAUAUGUUUCAGGGUAAUAAACACAAGGAUUCAGUCGUUCAUUUCAAGCAAUCAAUCUUUGAUGAGCAUAUACAAGAAGGGCUUGUUAGUUGGGCUGAGCAAUGGAUCAAGGGGGCCAUAAUGGGCCUGUAACUUCUCGGUACUCUCAUGGGCUACUCAAAUAAUGGGUGCCUUACAGUUGAUCCCCCUACCCAGUAAGCUUAAAACUCUUCUCAAAAUCUUUAAUUUUAGAGAAAUAUAUUACACAGCAUAUGGCAAUUAUUAGUUAAGAGAUGAAAGUGUCAUUCACCCUAAUUUGAAUCCGUUAUACUUUCAGGCUUAUGAAAAUAAAAUAAAACUAUUUUAGAUGUGCAAUUAUCAGAAUAUUAUAUAGGAUCUUAUUGACCAACUUAUCUAAUAACUGCAGAGGACUUAACUAAAUACUAUCAAAAUUCACAACAAAAGAGUAACACCUCGCUUUAUCAGGAUCAGAACAACAAAACUGACCAUAUGUGUAGACUGCAAAACGGCAACUCUGGUGAAGUGAUGAUUUUGCCCAGCAUUUGAUUAGACGAUUCUUUAUGAAAGCACAUAUAUGAUCAACAAUAUGCACAGGUGAAAAGUUAAAAUCCAUACUUAUAACGUAACAAUAGAAAUAGAAGACAGAAAAUUGAAUUGCAUAACUCUCUCUAAAUCCCGAAUCCAACCAAAAGCAUGUCCUCAAGCCAAGGUAAGAGCAAAAUUAAAAAAGAAAGAACAAAAAUUUCAUAAUAUUGAGAGCUAGUCGUCAGUUUUCUUCAAAUAUUGUGCCUCUCUCGCUGACAUAGAUCCCGUCAAGGAAUUUCCUAAUGUCCUUGUUCUUCACAUGGCAUUUCUGUCAAAAUAAAAGAUCUAGCGGUCAGAACAGGAAGAUUUCUAACACACACACACACACACACACAGAGGCCAACCUGGUUGAUCAGAGCAGCAGACCGAGACACAAGCUCAAUGUCAUUCCCAUCAAGAAUGAGUUCAUCCUUAACCUUCUCAGACCGAACAACAGUAACACCAUCAAGCAUAUCCACUUUGCGAACCUGAUCUCGUUUUUCACCAAGCAAUAAUAACAAGGCAAAGCUCAACAUCAAUCAACUACACAUCUAAGAAGCAAGUUAAGUUUUCUUCUUUACAACUAACAAACACGCAGACCGUAACAUUAUAUUUACAUAUGGGUUAGGACAUUUUAGCUUUAUUUUUUCCCCUAAAAAUUAGAAUAUUUCAGCUUAAAAUUUUUUACUAAAAAUUUUAACACAAAUCUUGAGCCAUUGAUUUCAAAAAAUCCAAUGAUGAAUGAAUAACCAUCGGUAAAUGCUAUUUUGACUUUCAAUAUCUACCACUACCAUUGGAUUGUUUUGACUCAAAAUUUGUGUCAAAAUUUUAAGUAAAAAUUUUCAGUUGAAAUAACCGCGCCAUAUGUAUACGUGUGUGUAGAUGGGUAUAUACAUUUAUAUAGAGUAAUGUUCCAUCAAGGGAUCCCAUACAUCUAUAUGUAUAUACACCCACACAUAGAGCCCGGCACCCACAAAUACAUUAUACAUACACACAUUUUAGAUUUUCCAUAACCUUCUAAAUUAGGCACCAUGUAAAAAUGCCAAACCAACUAAUUAGUAUUUUAAUUAACCAAGACAUGUCUACAUUUUUUUUCUCAAUUGUCACAAAUAUACAUAUAUAUAUAUAUAUAUAUAUAUUACAUUAUGAGGCUACUGAGAAUCUACACACUUAUAAGUCUACGGAGACUAAAUCGAAAAUCUAGGACCAGCCGAACAAACCGACAUUAGUAAGUGACUGACCUUCUUCUCCCCAAGAAAGUUUCGGAUCUCGAUGGACUUGUUGGCAUUGCCGAUGGAGGCGUUGAUGGGGAAGUGAGCGUAGACGAAUCUCAUCUUGUAGCGGUAUCCCUUGGUGACACCGUUGAUGAGAUUCCCGACGUGGCUGAGGGCAGUCCUGAUGGCGGCGCUGGUCUUGCGAGAACCGAACCAAGCGUCGAUCUUGAGCUUCCGCUUCCCGGUUUCCUCGUCGGUCAUCAGAUGGAAGUCGAGAUUCAGGUGCUUGAAAUCCCGGCUGAGCUUUCCUCUGGGCCCCUCAACCUCGAUGAUCUUAGCAUUGAUCUUGAUUUUCACCCCGUCUGGGAUGUCCAUCGUCUCUGAUGAUAGUAUUGUCUUCAUUUUUCUAUCAACCUGCUGCAAAGCCUGCAACCCAAAAAACCAAAACCCUCGCUCCAAGCUUAAGUUAUAUAAAAAUUUGGGUGAGUUCCCGAACGAAAAGAGGAGGAUUAGGGUUUUUGUUUUUACGUAAAAUUUUAUUCACACUGCAUAGAGCAACCUUUAGCAAAAUCCGGGCCUGGGCCCAAUAUAGACGGGCCAGGGCCGGGUUGGUGAGUCCGGUUUUCGUUAAUAAAAAAUACUUUUUAUUGAGAUUUAGCUAUUAAAUAUUGUAUUAAAAAAACCUUAAUGUUUUAAAUAAAAAGUAAAAAUAGUAAUAUUUAAGCACAGUAGUAUAUUCUUGUAUAACAUAAUGGAAACAAAUUAGUGAGUGAGAAAAAAAUAGUAGUAGAGCAAACAAAAAUCGAAUUAAUUAUUAAGCCCACUAAUUCCUUCAAUAUUUCAUUUUUCGAUUCGGAUGGUCAAUUAAAUAAAAAUUUCUAAAACAACAUAAUUACACCUAUAUAGGAAAAUUUGGUGUUCGUAUGUGUGUGCGUAUUUAUAUAUAAUCAUUUUAAGGUGUAGACGCCUUCAUUUUUUUUUAAUGCAGGCAUAUUAUUAAACUAUGUUGUUUAAUAGAGUUAAUUUUCAAUGUACUAUAAAAUCAUACGGCUAAUAGCAAUUAAAACUAAUUUUAUUAAACCGCAUGGCUUAACAACAUAUCCACAUCAAAAAAAAUAAAGCCACUCACUUUAGAGAAUGACUCUGUGUGUGUGUGUGUGUGAUGAUAUAAAUUGUGGAAUCAUAUAUGACUUUUAGUACCCAUAAGUUUCAUUAGUUAUAUUACGAAUUUUGAAUUGACAAUAAUUGAACUUACAAAUUGGGGUCUAUCAAGUAAUCUUUUAGACAUAUUACUAAUUCUUUUUUUAUUUUAAACUCAGGCUCCGGGACAUCUCAAAAGAAAAAAUAAAAUCGAGCUAUGGGGUAGGCACAAGCAUUUUUUUUAUAGAGGAGGUCUUUUGACAUCCCUUCAAAAUUGUUCACAAAAUCCAUUUUUCAUUGAAAGAUGAGUCUAUUGGCAUCCCUCUAAAUACUUCUUGACAUCCCUUUUCUUUAUUAACCCCAUUAAAAUAUUUAUAUUAUAAAAUUCUUUUAACACCUCUUUUAAUGACAAAAAUACCCUUAAUUGAAAUUUAUUAGUAUAAAUCUCAUUAUUUAACUUUUAUUUACUUUUACCUGCACCGAUAUUCUCAAACUUAUUGAGAAGCACACCUUCGCAUUUGACCUGGAAUCACUUCAUUACAUCUUCCUUUGUGAUACAGCUAGAAUAAUUGGUUCUCCAAGUCAUUUUAUUUAUUUAUUUAUUUUAAAAUUAAUUGUUACAUUCUUGUUUAGUUCAUAAUCUUGUUGAUCCCUUAGUUGUGGAUUUUGAGACAACUAAUCAUCCAUUGAAGAGAGAGAGAAGAAAAAGAAACUAUUGCUCCACUAAACUUCUACUUUGAUUCGGUAAAUCACCAAAACACUACAUGGCAAACACUUUGCUCUAACGCAUGACAAUUCAUUCAAACUGAUGAUGAUGCUUAGCAAACAUAUGGCCACCAUGCAUGCAAUUAUAAGGCCAAAUGUUAUUUGGUUUAUCGACAAAGAUGUUGAACGCAAGCAUCUGAAACUUAAUUUCUCUCUUCAGGUUUGAAAGUUUCUUCUUUGGGUUUGGUAAUGAUGAUAGUUUGAUCUUUUAUUCAUUUAUCCAUUUUAUCCGUUUGCAUGGUUAUUUUCUCCUAAAUUUGAAACUCUUAAAUUGGGGUUCAAGAAAGAGAAGAGAGUUUAUACUAGAUGUCGUAUAAAAAAUUUUUAAGGAGAAAAAAAUUCUUCGACUUUUGAGUGGGGAUUUAAUUAAAAAUUAUUCUAUUAUAUAAUUUUAAUAAACGUUAAAAUCGUAAAAUAAUUAAAGAGGUGUUAAGAAGUAUUUGGAGUGGUGCCAAUAGUCCCACUUUUAAUUGAAAUUACUUAAAGUAAUCUAAUACUGUUAUAAAAUAAAUAAAUAAUAGAGAAAAUAUUGAACUAAACAAAGUACUUAAGAGUACCUUAUUAUUAAGCUUAUUAUUGAUAAGCUUUUCAAUUUUUGUUGUUACAAAGACAAAUGAAUACAUUACAUAUAUAUAGAGUUGGAAAGCUAGGGGAGGAAGGAUGAUUUGUUGAUGUGGGAUAAAUGGUGAAAGUUUACCAUUGUGUUUACAACACUCCCGCUCGAACUUCACCAUUUAGGUAUUUAUUAUGUGUGCUUAAUAUUGUCUCGUUAAAACCUUGCCAGCAAAACCUAGUGGGACAAAACCUGGUCAAAAGAAAAAGAGUCCAGUGCACAUUUAUCUAAUAUAGUUGUAGAAACUCAUAUAUUCAAAAUAUACUCCCUUUGAUGAAAUAACUCCUCAAAUUUCAUGUAUUAAUUUACUAAUUUUUUGAGUUGACGCAUGCCAGUAUUGUGGACUAAUUUCUUAAACAUUGAUGUUGGCAAAGAUUUAGUGAAAAAAUUAGCAAAAUUAUCAGUGGAGCAUAUAUGUUUGACAUCAAUUUUCUUGUCAUGUUGCAGCUUAUGAGUGUAGAAGAACUUUGAUGUAUACUUGGUUCUACCUCCCUUAAUAUAUCCUUCUCUAAUUUGAGCAAUCCAAAAAGCAUUGUCUUCGUACAUAAUUGUUGGAAAAUCAGUUGUGAAUGUUAAAUUGCAAGUACUUUGAAUAUGAUAGAUAAUAGACCGCAACCAAAUACACUCUCCGCUUGCUUCAUGUAGCGAAAGGAUCUCUAAGUGAUUAUAAGAAGUGACAACAAAAGUUUGCUAGUAGAUCGUUGUGAAAUUGUUGUGUCAUUACAAGUGAAAACACAUCCUGUUUCUGAAUGGACUUUGUGGUGAUCAAAUAGGUAGCAUGUGUUUGCAUAAUCGAUAAGAUCAAGAUUCUCUAUUGGUUGACUUAAAUAAAAUAACCCCAAGUCUGUUGUUUCGCUAAGAUAUCAAAAGAUAUACUUGAUGCCCUUCCAAUGUUUGCGUGUUGGCGCUAAGCUGAAUCUUACCAAUAAGUUCACAGAGAAUGCAAUGUUUGGUCAAAAUAAGUCUCUUUUAGGGUCAAGAGACCGAACAAUUAUAGAAGUGCUUAGCGGAUAAACAUUAUUUAUAUUGAAACACUUUAAAAAAUUUUCAACAUAAGCGGAUUGAUGGAUAAGCACUCUAUUUGUUUUAUGCUCGAUCUGUAGGCCCAGACAAUAUUUUGUUUUCCCUAUGGCUUUUAUUUUAAAUUCUCUUCUUAAAUAUUUAGUAGUUUUAGGAGCUCUUCAGGAGUUCCAAUUAAAUUCAUCAACAUAAACUGCUAUAAUUGCAAAUUCAGAUUUAGAUUUUUUAAUGAAUAGGCAUGGGCAAAUAAAAUCAUUUUUGUAUCCUUCUUUAAUUAAAUAUUCACUCAAACGAUUAUGUCAAUGUUUCCAUAUUAUUUCAGUCUAUAUAAGAAUAGUUUUAACUUGAUGAAACACAUAUUACAGUCCUUUGAUUUAAAUACUUUAAGCAUUUCGAAUCAUUCAGGGAUUCUUAUGUAAAUAUUAAUGUCAAGUGACCCAUAUAAAUAUGCAGUCACUACGUCCAUAAGAUGCAUGUCAAGACUUUUUUAGACUGUUAAGCUGAUUAAAAAUUGAAAUAUAAUAGCAUCCAUAACUGGGGAAUACGUAUCUUCAUAAUCAGCACUAGGUCCCUAUGAGAAACGUUGUGUAACUAGUCAUGCUUUAUAUCUAGUGAUUUCAUUAUGCUCAUUACGUUUCCUUACAAAUAUCCUUUUGUAUCCAACGGGUUUGACAUCUUCAAGUGUCUGGAUUAUAGGUCUAAAAACUUCACGUUUAACUAAAGAAGUCAAUUCUGCUUGAAUUACUUCUUUCCAUUGAGGCCAAUCAUGUAUUUGUCUAGAUUUAUCAACAGUUUUAAACUCAAAAUCAUUUGUAAUUUUAGUAGCUACUAUGAAUAAAAAUACAUUGUCGAAGUUUAUUUCAUUACAAUCCCACUUUUUUUUUGUAUAAGUAUUGUUUGUAUAGUUUUCUUUAUUUUUAUGUUUUUGUAUCUCUUUAGGGGUUACUGUCUCACCAUAGAGUUGUGCCUUUUUAGGGACCAUCGAUUCUUCUAGUGAUUAAGAUAAUGUGGGUACAGUUAUAGCUCGAGCAUUAUUUUCAACAAUAUCUUGAUCUUUCAUUCUCCUCUUUUGAGAAGCACUGUCUUUGGAACCAAGUGAUCCACCAUGUUUAUGAAGUGUAAUAGAUAACUCAUUAGCUACUUUUACACUUGAUUGUUCAAUAGGAACAACUACCCCAGCUGCUAUACUAGCAGCUAGAGUAUAUGACUUGGUUACUUUUGUUGCAUUUGUAAAUGCAUCUGGCAAUUAAUUUGCAAUUUACUAUAACUAUAUUAUCCUUCAUAUUUCAUUUUCACAUUGACUGGUAUGAGGAUCUAAAUGAGAUAAAGUGGAAACUUUCCAAGAGAAUUCAUGUGUUAUUGUAGGAGUUUUUCCAUUUUCCAAUGAUGGAAAAAUUAUCUUAUCAAAGUGAUAAUUCACAAAACAUGUGGUGAAAAGAUUACCCAUUAUGGGUUCAAGAUAUCUGACAAGUAAAAUUGAGUGAAAAUCGAUAUAAGUCCCCAAACGAUGUUCAGGUCCCAUAUUUGCGUGUUAAGGUGGUGAUAGAUACAAUACAACAAAAAAUGAGUUGAUGAGAAAUGUCAGGUUGUUGACCAAGUACAAACUGUGCUGGAGAAUAUUGAUGAUAAGCAGUGGAUCUAAGAUGAACUAAUGUUGUAGCAUAUAAAAUAGCAUAAUCAUAUGUAGAUAUCAGUAAUUUUAUACGUACAAGUAAAAUUCUUGCAAUUAUCUGUAAACGUUUAAUUAAUGAUUUUGCCAAUCCAUUUUUUGUAUGUACAUGUGGAACCGAAUGCUGAAUAUCGAUACCUACUGAUGUACAGUAAUCAUUAAAUAUCUUAAAUGUAAGCUUGCCAAUAUUAUCCAAAUGUAUGGUUUUGAUUGGAUAAUUUGGAAAUCGUGCUCUUAAUCUUAUAAUUUGGUAAAGUAAUCUUGCAAAUACAACGUUACAGGUAAACUAUAAAUUUUAAAAGCAAUCGUAUGUGUUUGGUAAAUUUUCCUACUGAACUGCUAUAAGAAUACAAAAACUAAAAUGAACAUAAUGUUUACCAAGAUUUGUUUAUAAAUAAAUAAUGUUUUAUGGUGUAUAUUACUAAUUGAUAAUUAAAAUAACUUUUUGUUUAUUUUAUUUUAUUUUAUUAUUUUCUCGAUAUAAUUGAUAUCUACUAUUGGUGGCAAAAUUUGAACAAAACAUAUUCACAGCAUGAUAGUAUAGGAAUAUUGCACAUGACUUUUAAGCCUUUGAAAAGAAUGAAAGAGAAGCUGAAGAGAUAAGGGCAAAACACGAAGAUCUCAAAAAAUUAACUUCAACCAUCUAAAUCACAUGAAACUUAAUAAAGAUACCCCCUACAACUCAUCAAACCCACCACAUGUCAAUAUAAGACCAUAAAAAACAAUGAUAGUCUACCAAUAACUCCAAGAAACAUUAUCACAGUACAGUCUCCACUUGGGUUUUCUCUAAAAUACCCUACUACAGGCUACAAGAUUUAGAUAUGCAAAGGGGACCCCAACGUAACCGCCUACCUCAUCUCCAAUAAAAUUAGAUACCUUUCAACCCAAUUGGUUCAUUUAAAAUGAAACAAACAGGGUUGGGGGCACACUGCCAAUAAGGACAAUCCCUCCUCAAGCAGGGGUUUUAGGUAAUUUAGCAUUUCUUGUUGAAGAUCUUGAGCUUGCUCUGGUUGGACAAUUGUCCUUUGAGAAGAUUUAGAUAUGAGAAGGGGACCACCAAUAUAGAUGCCUACCCAUUCUCCAGUAAAAUUAGAUAACAUUCAACGCAAUUGGUUCAUUUAAAAUGAACCAAACAGGGUAGGGGACACAAUGCCAAUAAGGACAAUCCCUCAAAGGAUAACUGUUCAACCAAAGCAAGCUCAAGAGCUUCAAUAAAAAAUGCUAAAUUACCUAAAACCCCUACCUAAAGAAGGAAAUAAUCAACAGCAACUUGCCACGUCUCCAAAACAACACAAAGAUACCCUUAAGAGCAUUCUACCUUUUAAGAUCAGGUUCGUCUCACAAAGGGAGCAAAUUCUCUCACUCACACAAACAAUCAAAUUUCUUAUUAUUUAGGGUUCCUCUCAAACCCAUCAUCUCCUUCAACCUCCAACUGGCUUGAUCGUUAGAGUGUCAUUGUCGGCCACCAUUGGUGUCACUUCUAACGUUCUUUUUCUUUGAUUUCAAGUUGUCUUAGCCACGACCUUCCACAAAAUGAUGUUCCUGAGUAGUCUAUCUUGCCAUUGCCAAGAACCACUUGUAGAGGAUAAGCUCUCAUAAAGUUCUAAGCCAAACUAAAAUUAGACCAAAAUAUUUAUUAUGAUAAUGAUCUCCCUAAAUUUAAUAAUUUAAUUUCCUAAUUGAAUAAGGAUAAUUUUAAAAUUUUAUAAUAUAUGUGAGGAUAUAUAUGUAAGAAUGGCAAAAUUCCCUAUGGGUUUGGGUGGAGAGUUUUUUCAUAUGCGUUGUUGUGCUCAUAUCUUGAAUUUGAUAGUGAAAGAAUGAUUGGAUGUGACUAGUAAUAGUGUUGAAAGAAUUUGUAAUAGUGUUGUUUAUUGGACAUCAACACCCAAAAGAGAGGAAAAUUUUUUUGAAGUUGCCCGCCAAUUGAAUAUCCAAAGUAGUAAGAAGUUAUGUCUUGACUGCAAAACUAGGUGGAAUUCUACUAUUUAAUACUUCAUACUGCUUUGAUAUAUAAAAAUGUUUUCUCUCAUUAAAAACAACGAGAGUCACAAUAUAAAUAUUUGUUUUCGGAAGAAGAUUGGAAGUUGGCGAAAGAGAUUUGUAAUAGAUUGGAAAUAUUUUUUGAAGUGACUGAGUUAUUUUCUGGUACCUAAUAUCUUACAGCCAACCUUUACUUUCCAAAGAUUUGUCAAAUUAAGCUAUCGAUUUCAGAGUGGCUUAUUUCUCCAUGUGAUAUAAGAAAGGAUAUGGCAUUAUAUAUGAUAGCAAAAUUUAACAAAUAUUGGAAUGUGAUUCAUGGGAUAAUGGCUAUAGCCAUUGUUUUAGAUCCAAGAUUCAAGAUGAAGUUAUUAGAGUUUUACUUUCCAGAAAUAUACCACAAUGAUUCUUCAUAUGAAAUUGAUAAAAUUUGCACGAUUUGUUAUGAGUUGGUGACAGAAUAUCAGUCGAAGAAUAAUACCAUAGAAGAAGUUUAUCAAUCUACAAUUGCUUCAUCUUCUCAAUUAGAAUUGCUUUUGGGGAAGGUGGAUCAUUUGGCAUAAUUUGACUUAUUUGUUAAGUAAUACCACUAGUGAUGAGCAUGUUAAGUCAGAGCUGGACCAUUAUUUAAGGGAACCCGUCUUACCUUGGUCUCCUAAGUAUGACAUAUUGGCUUGGUGGAAAGCAAACGGUAGCAAAUAUCCUACUUUGCAUGCUAUUGCUAGAGAUAUUUUAGCCAUUCAUGUUUUUGCAGUUGCUUCUGAGUCUGCUUUUAGUACCAGUGGUAGAUUCUUGAGUUCACAUCGUAGCAGAUUACAUCCUAAAACAUUGGAGGUUUUAAUGUGUGCUCAAAAUUGAUUAUGGGCAAAAAUUAAAGGUAUGUUGUGUGAAUAAAUAAUUUGCAUUAAAGAGUGUGUGUGUGUGUGUUUAAUUCUAUUUGAUUUUUAUUUGGUUUUAGCAAGCUAUUGUUCAUAUGUGAGCCUGUUUAUAUUAUCAGGUUCUAAUUCUGGUUCUUUUACAAAAAAUAGAUGCAACUCAUUUUAUGAAGAUACAGAUGAGGUAAAAUUCUAUUUGAAUGAGGUUAAUCAUCUUAUUUAUUACAAGUGUUUACAAAUGAUGUAUGACAAAACCUUUUCUUAAAUAAAUUUGUAGUGAACUAACAGACAAUAAUUUUAUUAUUUGAUAUUGCAGGAUUAAAGUGACAAUCAUAAGCUAUAUGAAUAUGAUAAAGAGAAGAUGAAGCCAAAGAAAGAAGGAUUUGAAACAUUUGCUAUACAUUUUUGUUCUUUUAGUUAUGAUUUAUCCAAACAUUUUGUAGUUUUGAUAUUGUUUCAAACUUUUGAAGUUUUUUUCAAUAAUUUAAAUACUUUAUAAAAUGGUGAUGAUUUUAGUUUAUUUAAGUCUCUAAUUUUUUAUUUAUUGAAAUUAUGUAUUCAUACAUAUUGUAAAAGAAUUAAAUAAGUAAAUGAGGAAUGGGGUAGGAAUGCGGAAAUCAUUCCCCACAUGGAGAUUCUCCAUCCCCACCCCAAUAAAUUUAUUGGGGAAUGAGGUGGGGAACAGGGGUUAAAAUUUUUUAUGGGCUGGAGAGUGGGGUAGGCCUCCCCACCCCCACUCCACCGCAUGGUCAUCCCUAUAUAUAUGAAAUUAUGAUUGUCAAAAUUAAUUUUUAAUAAGCUUUUUUUUUCUUUUUUUUUUAAAGAUCUAUAAGAUGAGAUAAUUUUUCUAAAAGUAAUUUCUUAAAAAAAUUUACUAAAUAUCAAAAUUAACUUUUAAAUUUUCAAAUCAUUUUUAAACCUUCCAAAAAAUCUCAAACAACCUCUAAGUGUAUUUUAAGAAGUAACAUCAAAAGGGGGGGGGGGGGGGGGGGGUGUUUGUGAAGAGGGUGUUAAAAGGUCCAGCUCUUUUUGUACCCUAUCUACAACUAUUCUCAAGUUUAAUUCGCUGGUUAAGAAAUUAAAACCAUUAAUAUUAGAGAAGGAAAGCUUUAAUGCAUUAAAGCAAAUAGCUUUAGUGCAUUACUUUUUUCUUAAUUAAAAGCAAAUGGCAUGUGAUAAGAUCGAAUUAAAGGUUAAUAUUUAUUUAAAAUGAGUUUUUCGUGAGUCCCAAACUCCCAAUAGAGUCAGCACCCCAUUUUUCUCUUUCUCAUGUGAAAAAAGAGAAAAGAUUCAUUUAGAAUAAACAAUUACAGAAUCAUUUGAUUUGGAUUAAAAUUAAUCCUUCCUAUAACUCAUUCAGGUUUUUUUUUUCCUUUGGAAAAAAAUGCUUCAUUAGACAAAAACAUUCCAAGAGAAUUGCAAUUUCAAGAGGCACAUCUUUCAGUCAUGUACAAGACUUUGAUUGACAAAGAGCCAGUAUAACAACGUGGGCCACUGAGUUACAGGGCCUCGGUGCAUGUUUCACAACAAACAAACUUUUGUUACAAAUAAGAGCUCUAAUGUCAUAUAUAACCCAAUCAAUUUCCAAAUUGUUAAUGAUUCUCCGUGAUAUAAGAUUAAUGAUGUUAACUGAAUUAAAUUCAAUCACAAGUGGAGUAAGCCCCAAAUCCACUAUCAGUUUGAUGUCUUCCAAUACUGGACUAGCUUCCGUAAAUUCAAUAUCACCCGAGAAGGAUCUUCUACAAAUUGAAGCAGCCAUUAACUCUCCCUUAGAGUUUCUAAUAACUACUCUGAGCUCGGUGAAACCUUCAAUCUCACUGAUAGCUACAUCUGAAUUCAACUUGAACCAAUUAUUGUUAGGAGGAGACUAUUUUUCUUCUUUAAUUACGAGAGAUUAAGGGUGAUCAGAAUCUAAUCUGAUUUGCUCAAUUUGCCUUAUCUGUAGAAAUUCGAUCCGUAAAAAUCCUAUCCAUGGAUUGGUGGAUUUGAUUGAAUUAAAAAUUUAAAAAUCCGUAGUCAGUGAACUUGAUAUGGAUUUAAUUUUGUAAAUCAGCAAAAAUCUACAAAUUCGCAAAAAAAAAAAUUUAUUUAAUAAAAAAUUAAACUUGUAAAUAUAGCAUUAAUACUUACUAAUAAAUAAAUAAGUUAAAAUAUAGGUACAUUAACACCAUCUUAUAUCUUAUCCAAUAAUAAUAUAAAAUAAAAAAUAACUAAACAAACAAAUAUAGCUUGUUAAUUUUUAUGUAUUGAUCUAAACAAAUGAGAUUUUUUUUGUUUUUGGUGUGUUAUAUUUUAAAACUUUGAAUGUAUUUUUUAAUUUUAUUUAAACAAUUAAUUUAUUUAAGUAUUAUUUAAUUUUAAAUUUGAUCAAUAGUAAAAUCAUUUGUAUAUUAUUUUUUAUUUAGUUAAUUCAUGAAUAGUACAAAAUUAAAAAAAUUUUAGCCUACAAACCAAUCCGCAAAAUGAUAGAUUGGGUCAAAUGCGCAUCCGAUUUGCAGAUGUAUGGAUUGGAUUUGAAUUGAAUUUCACCAAUCUGUGGAUUGGACUGAAUUAAAAAUUAAUAAUCUGUAUAAUCGUGGAUCGGAUAUAGAUUGAUGUUCAAUCUACAAAAUCUAAUUGGCGAACACCCCUACUAGAGAUGCUUCAAAGGGUUUAACAUAGGUAGGUUGAGCACCCUUGUAAGCCUGAAUUUAACUAUUGACCUUUACCAAAGUACUCAAAGUAUCAUUCGCUCUCUUUUGAACAACUUAGAACCACAAAAACUUCAAAUUUUUCCUUAGAUAAUAAAGAGUGCAGGCAAACACUACAAAAGUCAUUGAAAGAGUUCUUAUUUAAAACAUCAGGUAAAGUUGAAAGCUUCCAAACCAUGUUGGCCAUCCUACAAGACAACAAGGCAUCAAAAGCAAUUUUUCCUUAGCUAAUAAAGAGUGCAGGCAAGCACUAUAAAAGUCAUUGAAAGAGUUCUAAUUUAAAACAUCAGCUAAAGUUGAAAGUUUCCGUAGCUUUCUGGCCAUCCUGCAAGACAAAAAGGCAUCGAAAGCAUCUUCCUUAGCUAUUUGACAUCUUUGACAAUUAGGAGAAUCUAGUAUUUUUCUCCUGUGUAAGUUAUCUGUUGUAGGUAGAAUAUUCAACAUAGGUCACCACAUGAAAAUUUUAAUUUCACUGGAAAGAGAUAAGGAUCAUAUAUGCUUCCACCAGCCUGAGGUAAAAGAAGAAACAGGAAAGAGAUUCUGAGUAACUAAGCCCCAAGGCCAUAUGAUUAGAAAUUGAUUGAGAUUUUUCUUAAUAAUUUUAUCAUGGCAUAACUCAAAUCCUCACUUAAUACUGGAAGGAAAUUUAUUUACUCCAGAGAGAGAUCUAUCUACUCCGAAUGUAAUGAGAUAAAUGGAGCCCUAUUAAGAAGGGAAUAGAGUCCUAUAACUCCUAUUAAAAAGAGAAUAGAAUCUCAAUAAUUUUUGGGGAUCAAACCUAUGCGUUCUUGUGUGUAUGGAUUACCAACGGGCUACAAGCCCAUUAACACCUGAUAACCACUUAUGACGGCAUAAAACUUUCUCCUUUCAUAAUGCCACACUAAUUGGUUUGAUCUUGGCACAUUAGGUAGCGGAAUUCUAAGAGUAUCUUCAGCAUCUAUCGGCAUAAAAGGUCUUCGAAUCAGGGACCCAUUCCAUGAUUGAUCUGACUUGACAUAAUUAACAAAAUGAAGUGAACUUUGGCUUGACCCAGGGAACAAUUAAUGCCUCAUUUAUUUGUUUCAAGUUUUCCAUUAAUUUCUACUUUACCGCAAACAGAAAACACGUCAGUGUUUUUACUAUUAAAAUACAAUUUUUUGCUAAUUCACAUUUUUUAAAACAAAAGUGCGAUGUAAAAUAAUUUCGUCGUGUUUUCAUUUUUGUUGUGUUUUAGACCCAAACUAUCGAGACUAAACUCAUUCCAAAACCACUUAACUCACUGACCCUGACCCAAGAACUUUUCAAGAAUCACUACAAUGCACUAAGAAUCAAGAAUAAGAAACCAGAUCAAAGACAAAAUGCACACACGAAUUAAAGUGGUUCAGCACCAAAUUAAUGAUGCCUACAUCCACUGAAAACAAGAACUGUGAUUUCACUUCUUAUUGCUUUCAAGAGUUACAGAGAGCAUUUACACAAAUGGAGAAUACAAGCUUUUCAGAACUCUCUCUCACAUUCCCUAUCAAUGUCCUCUCUCGUUUUCUGUAUGUUGCAAAAUCCAAAACUUCAGCCCUUUUAUCAACUGAUUCUGGAUCCCCUUCAUCAGCGGCUUUUCCCGCUAAUGUAACAGAAUUAUCAACCUCAAUCACGUGCUUGCAGCGUGUCUCUAAUAAGCAGGUUUGAAACGGCUUCUUACUUAGUCGUUUUGAGAGACUAAGUAUUUCCUCUAGCUCACAUGUCAAACAUGUGAGCUACUUAUAACAUUGAACGACAUUCUGGCUUAUGUCGGUUUCGUUCCAAACACUUAUCAGACGACAUGUCGCGCUAACACCGAAUCAACAUAUGAUAUGUCGGGAUUGAGUAUUCAGUUCAUAUUUCAUCAGUUUUCAACAAGAAUCCUAAAUAGCAUAUAACAUUUGUCUUGUUGAAAGGUCAGAGGUUAUUUUAUUCGAGAAUAGUGAUAAUGAAAAUGUAAGAAAAUUGUUCAAAAUUGAUCAAAGGUUAGUUUAACUAGACUACAAUAGUAGAGCUUUUUUUUCUUUAAAUCUCGCUAACUUUGAUUUUUUAUUUUUUAUACUUCUCUAGCCUUUCUUUACAUAUCUCAACGCUCAAGUCAUGCGUUGUGCCAUAUAUAUUUCCAUAUUUUUUGUUGCACGACUAUGACUUUUAAGGAACUUAAAAAAUGUAACCCAUAAUUUGAAACAUGUAAUUGAAAAAAAAAAUUAAGUCGUUGUUAGAUUACUGAUGUAAUAUCAUAAUUUUACCUAAUAUAACUAAUAGAUGCGGAACUAAGACAACUUAAAGUGCGUAGUAAAGCACAAUAAUAUGAUAGUAAAAGCUGAAUAAACUCUUGUUCAAUGUUGAAAAACAUUUAAUUAUUUGACAUAGCAUUGUACUUGGUGUCAUUAUAACAAGAUCCAGUACGAAUUAAUUAACAGGAAAAAUCAUUUUAUGGCACUAGAUGAUAUUCUAGUCCAAAUGACUUGAGAGACUUAAAUAAUUAAUCUUAUAAGAAAAUUAAAAGAGUAGUGUCAAUACCACUAGCAAGUCUAAGGCGACCCGGGCACACCCAAAUUAUUAGAAGUUUUGAAAAUUCAAAUAUAAAGUUAACUUAGUAAAUAAAUUAUCUUUGAAAAAUAGUAAACAUAUUGAAAAAUUAUUAGUGUUGGCAUCGCAAUGUCUUGAUAUUGGAAAAGUCUUUGAUGUUCCUAUAACACUGCUUUUUAAUAUGACAGGAAGCUCAGAAAACCUCGGAGCAAGAAAAAACCCUAGUUUCACAAGGGAUUUUUCGCCGCCGUUGCAGGCGACUCGCUCAACAAAAGAGGCUCGGAUGCGGGAAGAAGGAAUAGAUGAGGAUAAUCUACCACCAGUUACAUAUAAGGAGACGCUAGUUGGACCCUCACAGCUUAAGGAACCUGGAGUUGGAGGAAGUGAGGAGGACUGGGAGUUUGAGGAAGGUGACGUGACUGAGAAUUGUGAAGGAGUAAUGCCAUCUAUAACUUUCUUGGCCAGGAUACAAGAAAACUUAAUUCAGCCAUGGAAGAACUCGGUUGUAGUAAAGCUGUAGGGAAAGAACAUUGGCUAUAGAGCCCUUUGUGCCCGAUUGGCUAGUAUGUGGAAACCUUCGAUGGGUUCUUGUACAUGUGUUAUUUAAUCCAUUAAAUAGGUCCACAAACUCAAAUCAUCGUGAAUUUUUUUUGGCUUAAUAUAUACCCGUCUUAUUUUAUUCAAUUGCUUUCUCUCCUAUAGUUCAUAAGAUACACCCGAAAAUCUGAAGUUGUUUGAAAAUUAUAUUUGAAUAACUUUUGAUGUGUUAAAAAUAAAAUAAUUAUACAUAAGCACAAUAAAUAUCUUCCUUGGCAAAGUACAAAUAAAUUGUUUAAUCCCUCAAGCUUUUCCAAGGUUUAAAUUCAAAUGACCAACUAAAUAAAUCUUCUUAAAAACUACUCGCCAGACCACCGGAGGUAAAUUUGUGUGGUGAUAUACAGAGAUAUACAUAUGAAAUCAUUACAAGCUAUUCAUGGAAAAAUAAUAUUAACAAUCUUUUCUAUGUGGAAACAAAAUAUUUAAGUGCAUCUAUGCGAGCACAAUAUUAACUAUUAACAUAAAUCAUGAAAAUGAAUUUGUGUGAUUCCGCAUACGUUUUUAUUUAUACAAAUAAUGAAUUAUAAAAUAUUUUCCAACUAGGCAAUUAACAUCUUAUUAGUACUCAUAAAUUCCAUUAGUGUGAUUUCACAUAUAUGUAUUUGUUGAUACAGGUAAUAGAAUCGUACGAGAUCUCGUUAGUGCUCAUAAAUUGUAUAAGUUAUUCUAAUAAAUUUGGACUAAUAAUACUUAAACAUAAAUUAUUUAAAAAUGGUGUCUAAUUUAAAAAAUAAAUAAAUAAAUUAUUUAAAACUCGGUUUUGGCCAAUCCUAGGCUACAACGACGAUUCUCAAAUUUAGUUCGUUGAUUAAGAAAGAAAAACUAUUAACAUUGGAGUAGGAAAAAGUUAAUUUGAAUUAAAAAUAAUUCUUCCUAUAUUCACUCAUAUUGGACGAUUAAAAAUUUCCUUUAACACUCAUCAGUAAACUUUUUUUCAGUUAUUUGACUUGACAUAAUUAACAAGAUGAAGUGAACUUUGGCUUGCUCUGAGGAAAAAAUUUACGCUUCAUUUAUAUGUUUGAAUUAUUCCUUAAUUUCUUAUUGACCACAUACAGAAAAUGUUGAAAUUUUGACUUGAAUAUAAAAGACAAGUUAAGUUUUGAAAGCCUGAAAAAUAUUUUCAAAAUCUUGUUCAUGCAAUUCGGUGAUGUUGAAAAUUGAAGAUGGCAACAAAUUACGCAUACAAUUUUUGACAAAUAGGCAUGACUUUAAUGCAUGCAAUGCAAGUUCCAACUCAAUGUUUUGGCCAAUUGAACCCAACUUGGUGCAAAAAUUGCCAUGGGCAUUAAAAUGCUCUCUAUAAAUAGAGAAGCAUUUUGCAAUUGUAAGCAUCCCAAUUUGAUAGAAGUAGAGAGCAAUUGCAAGUGAAACGAUUUGAGAGAUUUGAGAGAGCUUCCACUUGAGUGUUCUACUAAGCUUCUAUUUUGGUGUAUUGGGAUUUUGGAUGUUGAGAGUUUUUCCCAAAUUUUGUAAAUUCUCAUUUAUUAGUGAAAUUAUCUUCCAAUCUUUACCCGUAGACGUAGGCAUUACGCCGAACCAUGUAAAUUAUUAUGUCCUAUUUUAUUUGCAUUUGUUUAUCACCACAUUUAACCCGCGCUUCCAUAACAAUUGGUAUCAGAGCCGAAAGUUCAUGUUUGGGGCAUACAACACUGUUCACGUAUAUGAACUGUUCACAAAUACGGCACUGUUCACAAAUACAAUCAUUUAUACUUGGGAGACAGUUUAUUGUAAGUCGUGUGUAUUUUUGCAUGUCUAGGAAAGUAAUGCCAACAAGGCGAUAAGAGCCCAAGGAGUAUGGGUUUUAAGUGGGACCAUUGUGACUCCUCCAUUUUCCUGAGAACUUUCCUAGUGCAUUUAUUCACGCGAAAUAAACAUCAUAGAGACUGUUUUUCAAAUGUAAAUAUUUGUUGAAGACACUAAUCAUUUGAGAUAAAAAUGAUGGCAGAGGCAUCGUCGUCGUCUUCAUUAGCGAGGACUGCUGUGUCUACUGCAAAGUUUGAAGUAGAGAAAUUCGAUGGUACCAAUAAUUUUGGUAUGUGGCAAUGUGAGGUGUUUGAUGUCUUAUGUCAGCAAGAGUUAGACGUUGCUCUUGAAGAAAAGUGUGACAUGAUGGAUGACAAAGAGUGGACAAAGAUCAAUAGACAAGCACAUGGUACUAUUCGUCUAUGUCUGGCUAAAGAUCAGAAAUACUCUGUCAUGAGGGAGACACCAGUAAAAAAAUUGUGGGAGGUACUAGAACAAAAGUACAUGAAGAAAAGCCUUGAAAAUAGCCUUUAUAUGAAGAAAAAACUCUAUCGAUUCACAUAUGCACCUGGCAUGUCGAUGAAUGACCAUGUAAACUCAUUCAAUAAGAUAUUACCAGAUUUGUUAAAUUUGUAUGAGAAAUUUGAACAUGAAGACAAGGCAUUGUUGCUGUUAAAUUAACUUCUUAAUGAAUAUGAUCAUCUCACCACCACUUUGCUUCAUGGGAAGGACAGUGUCACAUUCAAUGUUAUAUGCAGUGCGUUGUACAACUCUGAGACCAUAAAGAAAGACAUAAAGGAUCAUAGAGAUACAGUUGCAAAAGCAUUGACAAUGAGAGGUCGUUCACAAAGCAGCAAACCUAGAAAAAGAAACAAGUCUAAAGGGAAGCCUGCCAAAGAUGAAUGUGUUUUUUGUCCCGAGAAAGGGCAUUGGAAAAAGAAUUAUCUUAAGUUACAAAAGGGCAAGGCUUCUUCUGAUGCAUGUGUAGCAGAGCAUGAUGAUAAGUCAUACUUUUCUCUAGUUGGCAUGACAUUGACAUGUCACUCAGAUGAGUAGAUUUUGAAUUCAGGUUGUACUUAUCAUAUGUGUCCCAACAAGGGCUGGUUUUCUAUCUUCAAGGAGCUAGACGGUGGAGUUAUUUUUAUGGGCAAUGACAAUGCUUGUAAAACUAUGGGAAUAGGUACAAUCCAAUUAAAUUAUCAUGAUGGCUCAAUUCAAGUCUUGAUGGGUGUUUGCUAUGUACCAAACUUCAAGAAAAACCUCAUUUCAUUAGGAGUCAUAAAAUCUAAAGGGCUCACAAUCACUUUGAGAGAUGGAUUGUUGAAGAUAGUAGCUGGUGCGCUAACAGUGAUGAAAGACACAAAAAUAAAUAACUUGUAUUAUUUCUAAGGAAGUACAGUUAUUGGAUCAGUAUCAAUAAUUUUUGGAAAAAUUAUAGAUUCAGAAGCAACCAAAUUAUGGCAUAUCUGCUUGAGACAUACUGGUGAAAAAACAUUGCAGACAUCGAUGAAGCAAGUCUUAUUGAAAGGUGCAAAUUCUUGCAAAUUGGAAUUUUGUGAACAUUGUGUUCUGGGCAAGCAGACAAUGGUCAAGUUUGGUUCAGCAAUCACGAUACAAAAGAAAUUCUGGACUACAUUCACAGUGACGUGUAGGGACCUACCAAAACAGCUUCUUUGGGAUGUAUGCACUAUUUUAUUACUUUUGUUGAUAAUUAUUCAAGAAAAGUGUUGGUGUAUUUGAUGAAGAAUAAGAAUUAAGAUUUGGGCAUAUUUCUAAAAUGAAAGAAAAUAGUUGAGAUUCAGACUGGUCGAAAGGUCAAAAGACUUCGCUCAGACAAUGAUGGUGAGUACAAGAAUGAUCAAUUUCUAAAAAUAUGUCAAGAUGAGGGCAUUGUGCGACACUUCACUAUUCGAGAUAUACCAUAGCAGGACGGGAUGGCAGAAUGCAUGAAUUGAACUAUACUGGAGAAAGUUCGAUGUAUAUUGUCCAAUGCUGAAUUGGCCAAAGAGUUUUGGGCUGAGGUAGUUGUAUAUGCGUGCCAUCUGAUCAAUCGUUUGCCAUCAGCUGCAAUUGAAGGCAAAACACCCAUGGAUAUGUGAACUGGUAAUCCUACCACUGAUUAUGAUUCUUUAUAUAUUUUUGGUUCCACUAUUUAUUAUCAUGCAAAAAAAUCUAAGUUAAACCCAAGAGUAAAGAAAAUAUUAUUCAUGGGUAUAACUGGGGGAGCAAAGGAUAUCGUCUCUGGUGUCCUAUUACAAAGAAGAUUAUUUUUAGCAGAGACGUGACUUUUGAUUAAUCAAACAUGUUGAAACAAAAGCAUUCUCAAUAGAUGACCAGACCAGUAGAACUUUGCAUCAUGUGGAGUUUGAAAAGGUUAAAAAUGAUUCAUCUAGUAUCGAGAAGACAGAUAAUGAUUCUUCAUCGACCGAGGAUGAUAAAGCAGUUUUGAUCCAGGAACCUUCAAAAUAACAAGAUUCAAUUGCAUAUAAAAGGUCAUGCAAAGAGAUUCGCAGAACUGCUCGCUUUGUUGAUAUGGUGGCCUAUGCACUUCCAAUUGCAUUGAGGCCUGGCAUUGUAGCUUUAGCUAUAACUCACUCAUAUUGAUUGUGGAUAAUAAAAAAUUUCCUUUAACACUCACCAGCAAACUUUUGUCUAGUUUUGACUUGACAUAACUAACAAGAUGAAGUGAACUUUGGCUUGAUCUAAGGAACAAUUUAUCCCUUAUUUAUUUGUUUCGAGUUUUCCUUUAAUUUUUAUUUGACCGCAAGUGGUCAGUGUUUUCACUAUUAAAACACCAUUAUUUUUAGGUAGUUCACAUUUUUCAAAACAAAAAUGCGAUGUAAGAUUUCUCCACGCUUUCGUUUUCAACAAUAAUCACAAGUAGCAUAUAACAUUCAUAAUGUUGAAAGGUCAGCAGUUAUUAAUAACGAACAUGCAAGAAAAUUGUUCAAGAUAGACCAAGGUAGCUACAAUAGAAUACAGUUUUUUAUCUCACUAAUUUUAUUUUUUUCAUUUUUUAUAUUUCUCUAGUUUCUGUUUUUCUUUACAUAUCUCAACUCUGAAGUCAAGAGUUAUGCUCUAUGUAUUUCCAUAAUUUUUGUUACACUAUUAUGACUUUUAAGAAAUUUAAAAAAAUGUAAUAUGUAAUUUGGAACAUGUAGUAAAAAAAUUUUAAUUCGUUGUAAGGCUAUAAAUGUAGUAACAUAGUUUUAUCUAAUAUGAUGACUUAUGCGAAACACAAUCAAUUUAAAGUGCGAACCGAUAGCAUAAUAAUAGGAUGGCAAACGAUGAAUAAAUACACGUUGUUUUUUUUUUUUUUUUUGAUGACAUGAGACUAUUGCUCAAAUUACAAUUCAUAUUACAUGAGAGUAUAACUGAUAUGUACAAUCAUAUAUAUAUAUAUACUGAGACCUGUUGACAUCAAUGCUGAUAUGACACCGCUCAAAUUUGUAACCCUCUCAAAUAUUCGAGGGACGCCAACUCUCAGUUUGAGAGAAAGACUGCCUUCACUCAAGCUCUGGGACUCCAAGAAAAGACAUUUUAAAUUAAACCCCUACAAUACGUAUGCGGAAGCUCGAACCACUUCCCUCAUAAUUGUGAGGGAAUGGCUCUAGCCACUUGGGCUAAGCCCAAGUGGUUAUAAAUACACGUUGUUGAACGUUGAAAAACACAUAAUGAUUUGACGUAGUAUUGUACCAGGUGUCAUUAUAACAACAACGGGUCUAAAUUAAUUAACAUGAAAAAUCAUUUAAUGGCAUUAAAUGAUGCUUGAAUUCAAAUAACUUGAUAGACUUAGAUAAUUAAUACCAUAAGAAAAUUAAAAAAAAGUAGCGUCAGUAUCACUGGCAAGUCUUACUUGACACCCAAAUUCUUAAAGAUUUUGAAAAUUCAAAUUUAGAGUUAACUGAGUAAUAAUUAAAAAUUAGUAAAUAAAUUGAAAAAUUAUUAAUGUUGACCAUGCAAUGUCUUGACAACACAUUUAUUUAAGUGACACUUUAGUGCAUUAAAUAGGCCAACACACUCAAAUCAUCAUGACUUUUUUAUUACUAUUAUUAUUAUUAUUUGCUUAAUAUAUACCCUUCUUUUUUUAUUCAACUGCUUUCCCUCCAACAGUUCAUAAGGUGCAAUAAAAAAUCUAUAGUUGUUUAAAAAUUAUAUUUAAAUAACUUUUAACAUGUUAAAAUAAUAAUAAUAUUUCAAGCACAAUAAGUAUAUUCUUGGGUAAAGCCUAAAUCAAUUGUCUAACCCCCGAAGCUUCUUCAAGAUUCCAAUUCAAAUGACCAAUCAAAUAAAUUUUGUUGAAAACCACUCGCCAAACCUCUGGAGACAAAUUUGUGUGGUUACCUAUAAAGAUAAAAGAUAUAUAUGAAAUCAGUACAAGUUACUCAUGGAAACAAUUAUAUCAACAAUCUUUUCUGUAUGGAAACAAAAUAUUUAAGCGCAACUAUGCGAGCACAAUAUUAGCUACUAACACAAAUGUGCCAUUCCACAUAUGCGUGUUUAUUUACAAAAAUAAUGAAUCAUACAAGAUCUUCCAAUUAGGCAAUUACCAUCUUAUUAGUACUCAUAAAUUCCAUUAGUGUGAUUCCACGUAUACGUAUCUAUUGUACAAAUAAUAGAACCAUACAAGAUUUUCCAAUUACCAUCUUGUUAGUGCUCAUAAAUUGCAUUAGUUACUGUAAGAAAUUUGAUUUAAUAAUAAUUAAACAUGAAAAUGGUGUCUAAUUUAAAAAAGGUAAAUUUUCAUUCGUAUACCCUUAGUUUACACCGUUAUCAAAAAUACUACAAAACUUUAAGGGUGUAUCAAUCAUCCACCCUAAGUUGACAAAAUGUAUCAACUGUCCACUAAACCGUUACUUGUCGUUUAAAUAUAAUGACGUUAGAGAGGUAAUCUGGUCUUUUCAUAUGAUACAAGUGAUAAUAAGAGAAUUUAAGGGUAUACAAGUGAUAAUUUUUCUUUCCUUGAAUUUAAGUUUCAAGGGUAAAAACAUCAAUUUACUAUAAGUCCGUUAACUUUCAAAUGGUAGCUAACGGUUUAGUGGUCGGUAGAUAACUUUUGUCAAUUUAGGGUGGACGAUUGAUACACCCUCAAAGUAUUGUAGUAUUUUUGAUAACAGAGUAAAUAUAGGGUAUACAAAUGAUAAUUUCCCUUUAAAAAUAUAUUUAAUUGUUUUUUAUUUUAAACUCGUGCCAUGGGCUGGGCAUGAAAGUUUCCAAUAGGGCCUGGGCUGGUUCGUCGAUUAAGAAAGAAAAACAAUUACUACUGGAGUAGGAAAAAAAUUAUUUUGAAUUAAAAUUAAUUCUUCCCAUACUCCCAUCAAACUUUUUUUUUCAGUCUUUUGACUUGACAUGAUUAACAAGAUGAAGUGAACUUUGGCUUGACAAAAGGAACAAUUUGUGCCUCAUUUAUUUGUUUCAAGUUUUCCUUUUAUUAAUUUCUUGACCACAAACAGAAAACAGGUCAGCAUUUUUACUACUCAAAUACAAUCAUUUUCCGGCACAAGCAUUUACAUUUUUUAAAACAAAAGUGCGAAAUAAAUUUUUUCUUCACAUUCUCAUUUUCAACGACAAUCCCAAGUAGCGUAUACCAUUUGUAAUGUUGAAAGAUCAGUUAUUUUAUUUGAUAAUAAUAGCGAACAUGCAAGAAAAUUGUUCAUAACUGAUCAAGGAUCAAUUUAGUUACAUUACAAUACAGUUAUUGUGAUAUUAUAGUCUCACUAAUUUUUUUAAUUUUUUAUAUUUCUUUAGUUUUUUUUUUUUUUAUAUCUCGAGUGUAAUGCGACAUUUAUUUCCGCAUUUUUUUUGUAACUCGUUUCCAUUUUCGUAAGGAACUUAAAAAAAAUGCAAUCUAUCAUUUAAAAUGUGUAACAAAAAAAAUUGAUUUUUUGAAUGUUAAGGAUGGGCAUUUGGACCGAAUUGUAUUAUGACAGUUUGGUUUAGUUUGCUUCGGGCAGUAAAAACCAAAUGGUUUUGAAAUCUCUGGACUAAUUUGAAAAAAAAAAAGUUAAGAAUAGGAUUUCCGAAAAUAAAAAUUUGAAAAUUAAAAACCUAGUAUAAGUUAUAUCAAUAGAGAAGGUCUUUGACUCCUAACAUGGUUGGAGCAUUGAUAUUAACAUAAAAUUAGUUGCGGUCUUCUCUUUUCUUGGGCACGACAACAAACCUUAGUCAAUUAAUUCAAUGAAAUGAGUUUAUGGAUCAACAUUCAUAAAGUAUGUUUGGUAAAAUUUAAAUUUAUUUUAAGUAGAUUGCACAAUUUUGAUUUGCUUAAGUUUCAUGCAUGAGUUCAAUAUGAAGAACAUUUAGGUAAUGAAGCUGAUGUUGUUAUUUGUUAAUUAAUACAUGUAACUAUUAAUGCGAUAUUAUACACUCUAGUUUAUUUUGUUUAAUUGUUAGUGCUUAGCUAAUGGCUCACUUUUAGAUAUAAUGAAGAUAUUGUAGACAUAGAAGUUGAAGGAUCAAGAAAUGGUAUUGAAAGAGUGCUCAAUGGCAAUGAAACUUUGAAGUAAAGUUUCUUUUGUAAUUUAUAGUGGAUUUCUAAACUAUUGUUAGACUUUAUUAUAUUUUUAAUUGUUUGUGAAUUUCUAAAUUCAAUAAUUUUGUUGUAGUAAUAAUAUAUUACCAUAUUAUGUCCUUUUUUUUUAUAAAAUAUAUAGUGUAACAUCACUCGAACCAAACCAACCAAACUGAACUGAAUUAAUUUAGUUCAGUUUGAUUCUGUUCUAGUGUUUAGUUUGUAUUUGAUUCACAAAACUAUUCCGUUCGGUUUUUGAAUCUGAACCGAACCGAGCCAAAUAGUACCCACUCUAUGCUAUGGAUGCAAUAACGCAGUUUAACCUAAAAUGACUAACACGUACGAAACAAAUUCAAUUUGGGGUUAGUGGAGGCAUAAUAAUAAGGUUGCCAAAGCUAAAUAAACAUACCUUUUUUUAAUGUUGAAAAAACAAAUAAUUAUUUGACAUAGUACUCUACUAGGUGUCGUUCUAACAAACAAAGAGAGUUACCCACAAAAGGGGAAUAAAAGAGUAGUGCCCAAGUCUAAGGUGAUCCAAGCCACACCAAAUUCUUGAAAAUUUUGAAAUUUUAAUUUUAAGAAUAAAUAAGUAGUAAACAAAUUAUCUAAUAUAGUAAAUAAAUUGAAAAAUUAUUAAUGUCGACCUUGCAAUUUCUUGGUCGUGAAUCACAAUUUAAUCCAUUAAAUGGGCCUACAAACUCAAAUCAUAGUGACUUUUUAUUUUUUUAUUUUUCGCAUAAUAGAUUUAUGUACAUCUUAUUUUUAUUCAACUGCUUUCUCUUAUACAAGUCAUAAGGUACAACCAAAAACUAAACUUGCUCCGUUGAAUCAAAAUCUUAGUUCUAGCACUUUAAAGGAGAUGAGUUUAAUAUUUAAAGAAUUGUGAAAAAAUUAUUAGAGUUAUAACCUAUUUAUGGUAGAUUAAAUAAAAUGCUACUCAAAUAAAGCAAAGCCUUAAAUCCCAUCAAAUCUCAACAGAGGAAUCAAGCCACACCAAAUUCUUGAAAAUUUUGAAAAUUUAAUUUUAGGGAUAAAUAAGUAGUAAAAAUAUUAUCUAAAUAGUAAAUAAAUUGAAAAAUUAUUGACGUUGACGUUGACGUUGACCUUGCAACUUCUUGAUCGUGAAUCAUAAUUUAAUCAUUAAAUGGGCCUACAAACUCAUAUCAUCGUGACUUUUUCCUUUUUCUUUUUUCUUUUUUCUUUUUUAGCUUAAUAUAUUUAUAUACAUCUUAUUUUAUUCAACUGCUUUCUCUCAAACAAGUCAUAAGGUACAACCAAAAACUAAACUUGCUCCGUUGGAUCAAUAUCUUAGGUCCAGCGCUUUAAAGGAAAGAGUUUAAUUAUUUUUAAAAAAUUGAAAAAUUACGAAAAUUAUAACCUAUUGAUGGUAAAUUAAAUAAAAAUGCUACUGAACUAAAGGAAAGCCUUCAAUCCCAUCAAAUCUCAACGGAGGACUCGAACACAAAAAAAAAAAAAAACUAGUUUAGAAAAAUCAAAUCAAAUUAAGAAAAAAAAAUUAAAUACUUCCUAAACUUAUCUACAUCUACAUUCAUUAGAUGUGUACAAAAUAGCCACUUCGGCCAAGGCCGAAGUGGUGGGCUGCUGCCCUCACAAUGCAUUGUGGGGGCUAAAUAUUCUUUAUAUUUAAAAAAAUUCUUCUCCCUUGCGAAAUGCAAGUGGAGUAUGGACAUCCUUCUUAUGUGAGGGGUUAUUUGUUUGGGCAUGUACUUCACAGAAUUUAAUGUAAUAAUGUAAGUCUCAAUCAUGUAUAUCUGAUUGUAAAUAUCAGUGUAAUAUCUCUGCUACAAUAACAGUUGUUGUAAAUAUCAGUAAUCUGAUGAUUAAUCAGUAUUAAAAAAAAAAAAAGAUGUGUACAAAAUAAAAUACAUUAAAAAUAACAUGACUAUUUGUAUUCCAUUCUUAUCUUUUCGAAGAACAUUUUAUUGCUUAACGCAGACGGGGUUGCAAUCAAUUCAUUUUUCAAUCAAAUUAUGAGGGGACAGCAUGUUGCAGUGGAAGAUAAACUAGGCCAACCGCAAGUCAAGUGACUAAUAAAUUUAAAAAAAGAAAAAAAGAAAAGUCGUGAAGUUUCAAUAGCUAAGCCAAUUGGCAAAACAUUUGUCCCUUUGAAAAGAAACAAUUUAUUUUUCUACACCAUUAACCAAGGCAUCGAACUUUUGGUUUUAUUUGAUAGUGACGAUGAACGAACUUUAAACGUAUCGUCAAGGGCAUGUGCUUGGAAGUUGGAUUUUAAUCCCAAAAAAAAAAAGAAGAGUGAACUCACUUUCAUGAUAAUCGAAAACGACUACUUAUGAAUAUAAAAGGCCACGGGCUUUUGAAUGUAUUAUUGGUGUCAUUUUAACUUACAGAGUACGCUAAUGCAUGCAUCAAAUUAUUGUAAAUUCAAUUGUAAAAAGUUUAGAGCAUAAUAAGCUCACGAAGAACAUAUAUAAUAUUAUAAUGGGUUAUUUAAUUGUAUUGGUUAUUUCAUUGUAUGCUUUUUAGACACAAACUUUUAAAAAUAACACUCAAUGUUAAGAAUUUAAUAAAUUAAUAAUUUAUAUUCUUACAUAUGGUAGCGGAAAGCCACUAGAACCCCCUCUUUUGGCGAAAUUAAACAUUUUCUUUCUCAUGAUUUGACACCACCAGAUUCCUCCUCGUGAAUUUAAUAAUUUUCCAUUAACUGUCAAUCUUUUUACUUUAAAAUUAGUGCGUUCAUUUUCCAACAGUUGAAUUUGUUUAUUGUAAGCAAAUGAAUUAUAUUUUUAAAAAGUGUAUCAAAUUGUUUAAUAUUGUAACGUCAAUGGUGUUGAUUUUAGAAUAGUGGGAGAAAUUUGGAUAAUUUCACCAAAUUUUGGUCAUUUUCUCAAAGUCUCAAAUUCAUACAUCGAAUACAAGAUUAUAAGUAAUUAAGUAUCGUAAUAAAUAAUUUUUCUUUUUUAUUCUUGUAUGAGAUAGAUAUUGAAAAUAUAUAUACGGGGCUUAUGUCGAUACAUUAUGUAUCUAAUGUUCACAAUUAUGUAUCAUAUAUAAAAUUUGGAGGAAAAACUCAUAAACCCAUAUGAUGCUCUUAUGCUCUAUUUCAUUUUUGUUAAUUAAAUAAUGAUGAUAACAAAAAGAAUAAAAUAAGAAAGUGAUAUGUGACACCGACAAGGACAUGGGAUAAACAAAACAAAAUAAAAUAAGAUAAUCUUUUUAUAUUAAAUUGCAUUAAAAUUGGUAAAUAACAACAUCAUACAAGUCACUCGAGUUUUUUAGAGACUCAAGUGUCGAUUAGGUGAAAACAACAUAAAAAAUCGAUUAGGUGAAAACAACAUAAAAAAAAAAUGACUAUGUUCUCUACACUUACAAGCUUUAUUGAUCAAUAAUUGGCCCCAAAUAUUUUGUCUCGAAAUAAAUAAAUCAAACGAGCCAAAUGAUAAAAAGAUGAAUGUGAUAAUUGCAAAUUGGAGCUAGAAACCAUUUUAUUAAUAAACAUGAAAGCGAUGGACAUGGGAUAAACAAAACAAAAUAAAAUAAAAUACGUUUUAUUGAUCGAUAAUUAGCACCGAACCUUUUGUCUAGAUUGAAAUAAAUCACAGGAGACAAAUGAUAAACCGCUGAUUGCAACAAAGAGCAAGAAACCAUUUUAUGUAAAAGAGAAAUCAUGGCAAGAUACAAGAGCUAGAGAUUUUUUUAAAUUUUAAUUAACAAAUUACAUACAUAGUGUUUAAUGAAAUAAACAAAUCUGCCGUUGCCGUCUUCACCAUUGAUUGAUCUCUUUAGAAGUUGCACGAUAACAUUAAUAUAUGAAUUUCUACGAACUAAUUUGCAUUAUAGUUAUUUAUGUUACAUAAGCAGCAUUGUUAAUUUACUUUAUUUUUGUAUUGAUGUAACAUCACAUUUACCAAACUUUUAACCCACUUGAGAUUGAUGACGAUAGGACGGCUGGCAAAGACAUGUUGCGUGUUUCAUGCACGAGAUUUGUGAUGAUUAAAAAAAAAAAAGUAAUGAUUUCUAAAUCACUUUAUUACAUUAAAAAAAAAGUAAUGAUUUAUGGGCGGCUUUGUUUUGUUCGUGUAUUAAAUUAUUUGGCAUCCAAAAAUUAUAUUGGGCCUUAACUAAUUUAGAUUCGAGCCGAGUAUGACCACUACAGUGUUAAAUCUCUCUCAAUAAAUAUUUAAUGCAGUCUCAUUUUUUUUUCGAAAGUUUAUGUAGUCAUUAAGAAGUUGUGAUAAAAUUAUGUAGUACGUAUUUAAAAAUUUAUAGUUUCAUUUGAGUUUUAAGAACUUGUUUGAUAAUGUUAUAUUUCUUAAAAUAAUUGAUAUUAGUUGUGUUAUAUAAAUAAUUAAUUAUGAAGAAAAUUAGUUAAACGUUUGAUAAAUUUUACUAUUAAAAGUGCAGUGAGAUUUAAAAUCGGUUGUAUGUGUUCCGUAAAUCUUACUAUUAAAUUACUAUAAAAAUAUAAAUGACUGAAUUGGAUAUAGUUUUGAAUAAAUUUUAUUUACAGAUUAAUGAACAUGCAUGUAAAACAUUUUUUUUAUUGUGUCUAUAUAUUAAUUGAUAACUAAAAUAAAUAAUUUAUUUUAUUAAUUUUAUUUUUUAUUUUAUUAUCUCAAUAUCAUUGGUAACAAUAAUAAUGUUUUUAAAGUUAAUGAAAUUUAUUUCCUAAUUAAUAAGGAUCAUUUUAGAUUUUUAUAAUAUAUAUGAGUAUAUAUAUAGAAUUGCAUUUAGUAUAAAAUUGAUUUUUAGAAUUAGAUUUUGAAAAGUUAUUCCUUUCCUAUACUCCUUCCCUACUUUUUAAAAUAUGUUGUAAGAUAUGGUGAUUUUUCAAGAAAUAAUUUUUUAAAAUUUUUUUAAAUAUUAAAAUUAAGUUUUCACUUUUCAAAAUUACUUUUGAAUCUCCUGAAAGCAAUUCUAAAUGCCCCCUAGAUAUGAUUAGAAUAUGAUAAGAAUUAGAGUAGGUUAUAAGACUUUGUAUAAUAAAUCUUAGUAUUGAAAAUGUUAUAUUAAUGAGUUUUAAUUCCAUGCGAUUUAGUCAUAUACAGAUACCAACCUACUUCUGCCAUAUAAUUAUUUGGUAUUUUGUUAAUUAUUGAAAUCUCUAACAUUACUCUUUAUAUGAAGCAAUUAUUUCCUUUUAAAAACCGUUAGAUUUUCUUAAUGAAUUUCUACUAAAAGGCCACGUUAGAUUUUCUUAAUGAACUUUUACUAAAAGGGCAUGUCCCCUUAUUGUUGUGUAAUUAUAACUUUUUUUCUCUCAUAGAAAUAUUAAACUUAUUAAUAGGUAAAAAAUACAUUUUUAUCCUUAGAACUAAAAAAUUGACAAAAUAUGAAAAUAUAUGUAUAAUCUUAAUAUUUGAGUCCAACUCAAGAUGUGGGAUUCAUCUAUUGAAUGAUAAAAUAAUAGUUUUAUAAGUUAUGAAAUUUGUCAUUUAAUAGAUUUAGAGUUAUGAUACAUAACGAUCGAGACUUAGAUAUUGAGAUGUGAUGAAAAAUUCUAAAUCUUAAUAUUGCCAAUUUUUUUCAAGAUUCAUUAAUUAUUAUAAAAACUUUAGUCAAAAACCAAGUGUUAGAAAGACAAUUUUCCCUAAAAAAAAAUUCGUUAACCAAAAAAAAACCGAAAAUGUCAUAAAAGAUUCGUUGUCUGUGUGCCAUUAUGUUACAAUAGAUUUAUGCAUAAUUCGUAUAAUAAUUUCGAUUUCUCAAUGGUGGGGACUCAGUGAAGAAGUGGUUUCUCGUUAGUUUGUGAGGACACAACGCACCAUGAUAAAUUGGCAUUUGAUAACGAACGAAGAAAGAGUAGAGUGGUUUUCCGUUAGAUUGUAACGAGAUGAUGCACUAUGAUAAAUUGAUAUUUGAUAACGAAUAAAAAAAAGAGGAAUAAUAGAUAUUUUAAAUUUUUUUUAUCUUAAAUUUAUCUAAACUAAUAUAUCAAUUUGAUAAUUUUUUACAAAAUUAAGAUGAAAAUUUUGAAGUAUGUAACACUUCUAGAAAAAAAAAUUGGCAAAUGUUGCUUUCGACGGCUCCACGAUUACAUAAUGGUGUUUCUAGAAACAUUUUGCUUUUUGGUACUUGCAUGACGGCUAAGUUCAAGCUACAAAUACAUCUCAACCGUUCAACGGAUCAAUGAUUUUUUAUCUUCUUUGAUUAAAUGACGCCCAAGUGUUCGGGGGUAAAAUUUCUCACGAAUUUGAGGGAAUAAAUUAAUUCCAUUAUUGACUUAAGGGCUUGACCCAGAUUUAAGCAGUGUUUUUUUUUUUUAAAGUUAAUCUUUCAAAACAAAUUAAUUUUAAUUUUAUCCACCCCAUUUUUUAAAAAUUAUUGUCAUUUUAAGUCUAAAUAUAUAUCAGAUUUUAUUUAAAUAAAAUAAACUCUUGAUGAAGAACAAAAUGAUCGAGUCGGUAUUGAGAAAAAUAAACAUAUUAAAUUUAUAACUGUUUUCUUUUCUUCUUUUUUUAAAUUAAUUGCUAUAUAUUUUCUUGGGAGAAAAAACUCAAAUCAGAAUAGAGUUUUGGUCUAUUAUAGAUUUGUAUCUAGUUGGCUGCGACGUCAAGCCUUCUAAAUUUUGUAUCUCUCAUGCCAUGUGGAAAGACGUAAUAGAAUCCAAGUUUUUUAGCCAAGCACGCAACUUGCAAGAAACUUUUUCUUAUACAUCAACUUUUCAAAAAGUCAAGAAACACUAAAUAAAAAAUAUAGUAUUUAGGACUAGUUUGACAAUAAUGUAGUUUUUAAAAUAAUUAUUAUUAAACUAUAUUAUAUAAUUAUCCUAAAGAGAAUCACUUAAAUAUUUGUUAAAAUUUAUUUUUAAAAAUUCAACAAGUUUUAAAAGCAGCCACAUUUGCUUGAUAAAUCAUAUUGUUCAACUGUUGUAAAAUUGUAAAUGAUUAAAUUGAGUAUAAUUUUGCAUAAAAUUUAUUUACACGUGUAUAAACAUGUGUCUAAAAUAUCUUUUAUUUUGUAUAUAUAAUAUUGAUAAGUAAAAUAAAUCUUUUAUAUUAUUAAUUUUAUUUUUUAUCUUGUUGUCUCAGUACAAUUGUAAUAAUAAUAAUUUCUUUAACGUUGAUGAUUUUAUUUCCUAAUUAAUAAAGAUAAUUUUAGAUUUUUACAAUACAUAUGAGUAUAUAUAUGGAAUUGCAUUAAAUAUAAAAUUGAUUGUCGAAAUUAGAUUUGGAAAAGCUACUCCUUCCCUACUUUUCAAAAUCUGUUAUAAGAAGAGAUGAUUUUGCCAAAACUGAUUUAAAAAAAAAAUUACUAAACAUUAAAAUUAGCUUUUAAUUAUUUAAAAUUACUUUUAAACCUUCUAAGAGCAAUCCCAAAUGAGCAUUUAAUAUCUUGAACAUAUGCAAUAAUUUAUUAUGUCUUAAGUGUGAUGGACUGAAAUAAAUAGAUAGUUGAGGAUUUGUACCCAAAUUUAUCUAUAUCUAAUUAAAAGUGUGAAUGCGGCCCAUUAAAAUUUGAUUUAAUUCUUGAAUUAAAUUCAAAAUGUAACUGCAUCCCCAUUAAUCACAUAUUAAAUUCUGAAUUUAAUUUAAUUUUAAAAUAUGAAUUAAAUUGACCGUUACAAUCUCAAAAUAAAUUAUAAUUUAAUUAGUAGUUACAAACUAUAAAAUUUAGAAUUGAUUGGAUAAUUAAUUUCGAAUUUAAUUAGCCCCCACAAUUUUAAUAACUCUUAUUCUUAUUCAAUAUAGUUAACAAAUGUAUUUUGAGCGUUAAUUUUUUGUUCACCCCAACAUACAUCAUUUUAUCUUUGAGUAUAUAAAUAUAUUAUUUUAGAACACUAAUAAAAAGAAUUCUGAAUCAUUCGUAACCAAGUCGUGAUCAAAAUUUUACUUCAAGAUAAAAACUCAUGCUAGUUUUCCAACAGUUUACAUCAUACAGUUACUCUUUUACUAGAAAUCGACAUAUAUAUAGUAGAGAUUAAGGGUGUGUUUACUUAAAGGUUUAGGGAAUGCGAAUGAAAGAAUGUGAAUAAAACUCAUGUUUAUUUGAUAAAAUAUAAUUUUGGAAUAAGAAUCAAAUGUGUGGGUCCUACACAAUUUGGAAAUAAGAAAUUGGGAAUCUUAUUCCCAUUGGGGGUUGGGAAUAGAAAUAAAGGAAUGGGAAUGAAACAUGGGUUUAAUUUUAUAUCCCUCUAAUUUUUUCAUAUUUUCCAAAUUACCCUCGUUCAAAUCACAAUUAAUUUUUAUUAUUUUAAAUGUUAUUAUUAUUAAAUUUUAUUAACUUUAUUAUUUUAGUUAUUAUUAAUUAUUUUUAUUAUUAUUUUUAUUAAUAUUAUCAUUUUUAACAAUUUAUUAUUAUUAUUAUCAUUAUCAUUAUCAUCAUCAUCAUCAUCAUCAAAAUAUAUUAAAUUUAUUAUUUUAAAUGUCAUUUUUAUUAUUAUUGACUUUAUUAUUUUAGUUAUUAUUAAUUAUUGUUAUUAUUAUUAUUAUUAUCAAAAUUUACUAAUUUUAUUAUUUUAAAUGUCAUAAUAAUAAUAAUAAUUAUUAUUAUUAUUAACAUUUAUUAUUAUUAUUAAUUUUAUUUUUUUAAUUAAUAUCAUUUUUAUAAUAAUAUUUAUACAUGUAUUUAGUUAAUAAAAAUUACAUUAUUUAAUACUAUGAGUAUUUUGGUAAAUUUAUUCUUAUUUCUAGGGAUGGCAAUGGAGCAUAUAUGAGUUGGAUCUACUCUGCUCCAGAUUCAGAUCCAUAAUAAAAAUCAAGAUCCGCAUCUGCUCCAGAUCCGUCAUGAAUCCAUAGUUUUCACUCUAUUUCCAGAUCCAUAAUAAUAUUUAUACAUGUAUUUAGUUAAUAAAAAUUACAUUAUUUAAUACUAUGAGUAUUUUGGUAAAUUUAUUCUUAUUUCUAGGGAUGGCAAUGGAGCAGAUAUGAGUUGGAUCUACUCUGCUCCAGAUCCAGAUCCAUAAUAAAAAUCAAGAUCCACAUCUGCUCCAGAUCCGUCAUGAAUCCAUAGUUUUCACUCCAUUUCCAAAUCUAAAAAAGAAAUAAAUAUAUGUAUCUACUCCAAAUCCGAAAAAAAUUAAAAUUCAAAUCUGCUCUAAAUCUGUCAUUAAUUCUAAAACUCAUCAAUUAAAAAAUAAUAAUUUUUUAGCAUGAAAAUUGAAGGAUAAAAUGUAUUGAUAACAAAUAAAUUAUAUAAUUUUUCUCAAAAAUAUAAUAAAUAUUGUAGCUUAUACUUUUACACCAAAACAACAAAUAAGAUAAUAAAAUAUUCUUUAAAAGUAAUUGCAAGAGUAAGAUCGAUCUAAUAUUUUAUUGUCUCCUUUAUCAUUCUAAUAUCCACGACACACUCAUCAUCAUUCUAUAACAUUAGAUAAUGACAUAUAAAUUAAAUAUGAUUUAUAUUCAGUCCUUUAUUAUUUUUAUUAUGACCAUAUUUGACUAAAUAAAUGAAUACCUAUAUUCUUUAAAAAUUAUUUGGUCAAUAUAAUAAAAUAAAUUGUCAGGUUGUAUUACUUGACUUGCAAUUUGAAUAUUGCAUGUACAUUCUUUGAGGUUGGUUGACCUUUAAAUUUUAAGAGUUUAAAUGCAUGGUAAAUACCACUAAUAUGCUAUAAAUAAAAUUUAUUAUCAUUAUAAUUCCACAAUUGUUAAGAAACUUUUAAAAUUAAAUUAAAUUAAAAGAUGGGUGAAUAUGGAUAUGGAUUUAGAUAUUAAGAUAAAUCCAUACAUGCUCUAGAUCCGUCUUAGAUCCGCACAUCAAUAUCCAAAUCCGAUCCAAAUUCAUUUUAAACCGACCCAAAUUCGAUCCGAUUAGAUUUGAAUCACGUGGAUCUUGGGUAAGAUCCAAUCCAUUAUCAUCCCUACUUAUUUCUAUUUCUCAUUCUCAUUUAUUUUGUCAAGUAAAUAUAUCAAUUGCAUUCCAGCACAUUCUCAUUCUCAUUUCCAUUUAUUUUUAUUAAGUAAAUAUUGAAAUUUCAUUCUCAUUCCAACCCAUUUCCAUUUCCAGCUUAUUCAAAUCCCAUGAAAUAAACACACUAUAAUUACCAAAUAUCUGGACCUUAAGUAGAAUCCAGAAGAAAAAGAAAAUCCUUGUGAUAAACAAGAUGAUCAAAAAAUACAAGCCACAUGUCAUAAUUUCUAAUUUUGCCAAAGAGAUAAAAAGACCCCUCAUAUAAAAGACAAAAGGGAAAAGUCAAUUUUAUCCACGAUAUACGAGUCGCCAAUUGGCAAUUGGAUUGGGCACCGCAAUGAAGUGCUUCUAGAAGGAUAUUACUUCAGCUCUUUAACCUUUGGCCAUUGCUUUAUCGUUUUCAAGAUAUUGAUUGCCCGAAGGCUUAUUCUGUGGUGGGGCUUUUGUCAUAAUCACCAUGGCACGCCCUCAGAAAAAUUGAAGACACGAACAAACUGCGCCUCUGUUACUUGGUAUUAGAAUGAAAAACUGACAGUGACUCACCAUGGCACCAGCUCCAUUUCCCCUUUAUUCAUGCUCAUAGCUAGCGGCCAUUGCCUCUGCAUGUGGCUGCUUUUGUGCAGGCUAGCUAGCUAAUACAUUUCUUUGCCUUUUGGUGCAAGAAUAAGAUGUUUAUAGUAAUAACCACUUUCCUAUUCCAUUAUUCUGGUGCUUUUUUCUCAGCUUUUGUCUUUGUCCGAGUCAGCUGAUGCCACAGAGAAAGAUGGUGGCCACUUAGAUAUUGCCGUAAUUUACAACACCUAGAUUUAAUGUUAGUCAUUGAAAGUGCACGAUCUAAAAAUAAUCUAAAAAAAGAAAGUGGUGCUUUUAUAUAUAUUAUUGAUCUCCUCGCAAAAUUCUAAAUUUGAAUGUAACAAUUUGGUCUAAAAAAAGAGGUUGUGGUCCAUUCAGGAUCAUUCAGGACCACCUCAUGGUUCAGAUAAAAAAAAAAAUGGAGUUAAACUAAUGGGACCAAAAAAAUAUAAAAGAAAUUAAAUGAAGUAUAUAGAAAGAGAAAAGAAUUCAAAGAGAUAUUAAAAUGAAUAAACUUAAUUUAUGUUGGUUUUAAAGUAAAGUAUUGUCUAUUUGCUUAUAUUUUUAGUGAUUUUACCAAUGUCAUUGAUGAAAUAAAAUCUAUCUUUUCUAAAUUUUUACUAAAUUAAAUUUUAUUCAUAAAUGAGUUAAUCCCUCAAAAUUUUCUAUUUAAAUAAAAAGCUAUAUAUGUUUAUAGCUUACAUUUCAAAGAGAUUUUUAUAAGCUUCUUCAUAAACCAUUUUUAUUUUACAUUAAUUUUUUGAUGAAUCCUGAUAACGUUAUUAAUUCUUCAAAUGUGAUAGGAAUUAACGAAAUAAAAUAAUUCUUUUUGGCUCAUUUUCCACAUUUAUUUUUUCUUACUGCUGUCACUAUUUUUAUUCAAUCAGAUAAUUUUAAUCUUGCGCAACUACUGUUACUACCAUUGAUCAGGUCAACAAUAGCACCGUGAAAUUAUGAGAUAUGAGUUAUUUGUAAAAUUUAUUAAACGUUUUGAAUGAAAUAUUCGAACCAAUGCUCUUUUUAAAUGUUCUAUAAAAUUUUUCAAAUAAUGUAUUAGACUCGGUCUUCUACUUAAAUAUUAGAAAAAAUUGCUGUUUUCAAAGCUUCAAUACUGAAUUAGAAGAAUACAUUUAUAAAAUGAUGAAUUUGCGAGCCUCUAUUUAUAUUGCAUCAAAUCAAUCUGUUGAUGUUUUUAUACAACAAGUUUGAAGUUUUGAAAAUUUAUUUAAUUUGAUCUUUUUUAAAAAAAAAAUUUAGUUGUAUGUUUUUUUUAUAACUUAUGUCUGAAUUUCAAACAUUUAUAUUUGAAUAAAAAAAAAGUGAAUUUUUAUGACUUUUAUAUAAUUGGAAAAAUGUUUGAAUGGAAAGUAAAUACCACAUCCCAAAAGUAUUUCUAUUAAAUAUAAUUAUUUCCUAAACUAUAAAACCUAAUCCCUUUAUUCAUUUUAAUUUAUAGGGAAAUAAAUAUCAAAUAAUUAUGUUUAUUUUAAGAUAUUCUUUAUUUUGAUAUUAAUAAAAACACAUCAUCUAGACAUUUAUAUUCAAAUCUAUUUACACUUCAACCAAAUUCAAAUUUAUUCAGAUUUUAAACAAAAAAAUAAAUGCUACCUUAAUCAAAUUCAACCUUCCUCUUUUUUCUAGUAAUUGAGCAUAAUUUUUUCUCUUAUAUACAUUGCAUCGAACCAAUCUGUUUCUAUUCUUUUGCAAUAAGUUUAUUGAAAAAUAACCUAAGGAAAAUAAUAUGUAAUUAUCUUCGUUUUGUAGAUAAUUGAGUUUGUUAUGCAUGGUGUGGCCUAAACUCAAUCAAAUUCAAUCAUUUUCUAUUUCUACCAAUGUAGCGUAGCAUUUUCGUCAAUUAUUGUUAAAUGCUUUGCGUCUGAAUGAAUAAAGAAAUAUUCAACUGAGUUUGUAAAAGGUUAAUUUUUAAAAGUUACCUAUAAAAUGAAUUAAAUGUCUAACAUUGGAGCUUGAAUAAUGUAUGAAAUAAGUGACAUUUCUAAAACGGAUGCCAGUUUCUCCUUACUAAAAUAAUAUAUAUCACUUGUCUCUUACUGUUUUCACAAUAACUAAGACGCUUAGGGAACAUCGUAAUUUUACAAUAUCAUCCUUAUUUUCAAAAAUAAAAAAUAGAAAUCAGCAAGUUCACUAUAUUUUAAAAAAUAGAAAUCAGUAAAAAUUUUGUACAGUUAGUCAAUUAAAUCUUUUUAUUUUUUUUCUUAUGCUUCUUUGACUAUAUUUGAUCAUAAACUUAAUAUAAGUUUUAUUUUACUAUAUUAUUUUUAUUAUAUUAAAUGACCAAAUUGUCCUAAUAAACAUGAUAAUUGUAUCUAAUUAUUUAUGUAUUUAAUUUUAUGACUUAUAAUAUAAUUUUUUAAAUGAAGUCUGAUUAUUAUUUUCACUGCUCUUACACUUGGAUGAUAUAAAUUUUGAUAGUUCAGUAAUUUAUAUGAUUAUUGUGCCCUAAAACCCUUAUGUUAGUUUAAUUAAACUUUAGUAAUUAGAAGUAGUAUUAGAAACAAUGAGUUUGGUAUAAAAUUAGAAAAUUAUUAAAGUUAAAGUAAAUUUUUAGAAGUUUUACCUUAUAAGGGUAAAAUAGUCAAUCUAAACUUAUGGCAAAGUAAUCUUUAUAAUCAAUUAUAAUAAAAAAUAACUCACGAAAAAUUAAAUUAAGAUAAAUUUAAUUAAUUAAUUCCCAAAGUUCUUUAUUUUAAAAUUUUAAAAAUAAUGUAUAUUUUUGUAAUUAUUUUUUUAAAAAAUAAGAUGAAUUCAUAAAAACUAUGGGAGGAAAUCAUUACCCAAAACUUUAAUAGUUGAAUUGCAAAUGUUUCUACAUACAUAUAUUGCAAGAAUAAAUCUGUGUUUCUUUUCUUUUUAUGCAACAAGUUUGUUGCCAAAAUGUGAGGGGUACCUUCACAUGCCCAUCCUAUAAAAGGAAACUAAAUUAAAGAAAGCUACAAGAUAACAUUAGGUCCCAUGCAUUACAUGCCUUCUAGAAGCAAUUGAAUUUACGAUAUGUUUCCAAAUUAAUCAAAAUCAUAUGAGAUGGUCCUGCAAUUAUUACACAUUGCAAUUAUUACAUAUUGGGGCCGGUUUCUAGCCAAAAAUUAGGCAGCUUCUACGUGCUCAAUAAGGCAAGGCUCCCUUUUUCUUUUGUCAAAAGAUCUGCUAUUUUUUAAUAUUUCGAUCAAAAAGAUUGGCGGACGAUGGUAAUAAUUAUAUUAAUUAGUUAAUAAUAAUAAUAUAUGAAUUAAUUAUAAUAAUAAUUAUAAUAAUAAUAAUUAUAAUAAUAAUAUAUUAAUUAUUGUAAUUAUUUAUUUAAAAACUAUAAUUAUUAAUAAUUAUUGUUAUUAAUAUAUUAGUUAAUUAUAAUAAUAUGUUAUUAAUUAUAAUUGAAGAAAAAAUGGACAUUUUAAAUUUUGAGUAGGGUAAAAUGGUCAAUCUAGAGAAUAGGAGACUCAUUCUCAAGCCCCUCGGGAAUGAGUCUUCCAUUCCUCAUUUCUAAAUUGUGGUGGGCUCUAUGAUUCUGAUUCUAAUUCCUAAUUCUAUUUUGCGAAAUAGACGCUAUUAAUGAUUUUGAUUCUGUAAUUCGUUAAGUAAACGCAACAUUAAAUUAAUUGAGUAAAGAAAAGCUUUCUUGAACAUUAGUUUGAGACAUCACAUGCAAUUCUCUUAGUUCUGCCCUUGUUAUUUUUAUAUAUAGCAAAUGAUAUUUUUGCUUUAUUUUGAUUAUGGUUGCGUAAUCAAAUUCAAGUUUAUGAAUAUAAUAGCAAGAGGGGCUCAAGAAUGAUACAAUUAAUCUGAAAAAAAAUGAAAUUCUCUUUAGGUGAACUUACUUUUAUAUUUGUAAUUAAUGAUGAUCUUUAUAAAAUACAGAAAAACUAAUAUUAUAAUAAUAGUUUAAUAAUAGUCAUUGUCAUAACGUGAGAUAUUCAUUUAAAGUUCACGUCCAAAGAGGAUUAUGAUUGAAGUCUUUAAGAAUUAAAUUUAAAAAGAAUGGUUAUGUUAAAAAUUAAAUACUUAUAAGAGUGGAAUUAUUUGAAUUCACCAAUUAUAUUCUACAUUCUCUUUUAAUUAAAAAUUUUAUUAUAUAAAUAUUUUUAAAAAAAUUACUUAAUUAACUUUUUUUUUCUCUCUCUCUUCUCAAUUUCAUAAAUUUUCAUUAAUUCUUUUACCUACAAAUAAUUGAUAUCACUAGCUAAAUGGAAUGAAACCCAUCAUUUAAAAAUGAGCAUCAACAAAUUUUUAUCAAUUAUGAAAGUUAAUAAAUGUAGAAAUUAAUUUUUACAAAAAACAAAAGCUAAUAAAAAUCAAGAAAAGUUCUUAUAUGUAGAAAGUAUGAAAUAGAGAUCAUGAUCUAUUAAGAAAGAUUAAAAAAAUUCAAAAGAAAGUGAAAUAGAGUGUUUAAAUUUGUAGAAAAUGAGAAUAGAGACAGGGAAUUAAAAUUGUAAGGUAGGGGGAGAGAGAGAGGGGAAGAUUAGUGAUAGGUAAUUUUGAGAUUUUAAAUUUUAAAAUUUUUAAUAAUAAGUUUAUUUUUUAAAAUAGGUGUAGAGGAGA